UUUCCGUCUAGAGGGCCGAGACGGCGUCCGUAAAUCGCGGGAUCAGAUUACGAGUAUCGUAACAAGAAACCGAAGACCUUUAAUUUUCGGAUCGCGGAUCGGAGGUCGUUCGGUGGUCGCGCGUGAAUUGGGUCAAGCCGAGCGGCGUGCGCCGCGGAAGGCCGAUUGCGAGUGACAACGAGCAAUCGGAACGCUAUAAAAGGUGGGUAGUGU
rnacentral:lncRNA from 1 species